rnacentral:misc_RNA from 1 species
GCAGCACCUAGAAUAACACAAUUAUCAAGUGUAGAUCCGAAAUCAGCCCUCCAUUUCAGAAGCACCCCAUCAUCAAUACCCAAUUCCCCACUAGGCAACUCGAUCCGUAAAAACCGAAUUUCGUUAAAAUUCUUAAGAACCUGAGUAGGGGAAUGAUGGGUAACACCACCCUGAUCCAUUUCCCCUUCAUCCUCAUUACCAACGGAAAGGGAAGAAAACGACGACGCAGAACUCGAUGAAGAAGAAAAAAACCCAUUCCGCGAAGGNNNNUCAUCUCUCUCCUUGGUCCAAGCAGCUGACCAAGAGCCUGGAAAGGCUUAACAAAGCCACCAAAGACCAACCGAAAAAUAGACGAGAGCCCAGAAGACGAACUGGAAGACCGAGAUUUCUCAGAGGAAGA